rnacentral:rRNA from 1 species
UACGUAGGGUGCGAGCGUUGUCCGGAAUUAUUGGGCGUAAAGAGCUCGUAGGCGGCUUGUCGCGUCGGAUGUGAGAGCCCGGGGCUUAACUCCGGGUCUGCAUUCGAUACGGGCAGGCUAGAGUUCGGUAGGGGAGAUCGGAAUUCCUGGUGUAGCGGUGAAAUGCGCAGAUAUCAGGAGGAACACCGGUGGCGAAGGCGGAUCUCUGGGCCGAUACUGACGCUGAGGAGCGAAAGCGUGGGGAGCGAACAGG